UACGGAGGGGGCUAGCGUUGUUCGGAAUUACUGGGCGUAAAGCGCACGUAGGCGGCUUUGCAAGUUAGAGGUGAAAGCCCGGGGCUCAACUCAGGAACUGCGUCCGAUACUGGUUGGCUUGAAUCCGGGAGAGGGAUGUGGAAUUCCAGGUGUAGCGGUGAAAUGCGUAGAUAUCUGGAGGAACACCGGUGACGAAGGCGACAUCCUGGACCGGUAUUGACGCUGAGGCGCGAAAGCCAGGGGAGCAAACGGG
rnacentral:rRNA from 1 species